UACGUAGGCGGAAUAUUAAGUCAGUGGUGAAAUCCUGCGGCUCAACCGUAGAACUGCCAUUGAUACUGAUAUUCUUGAAUAUAGUUGAGGUAGGCGGAAUGUGUAAUGUAGCGGUGAAAUGCUUAGAUAUUACACAGAACACCGAUUGCGAAGGCAGCUUACUAAACUAUUAUUGACGCUGAGGCACGAAAGCGUGGGGAGCGAACAGGAUUAGAUACCCUGGUAGUCC
rnacentral:rRNA from 1 species